GUCCGGUAUGGGCGCCAAAACACAUAAGGUCUCCAUACCCCGUGCGGUAUGAGAGAAUACGUUCCCGGUAGGGUUCCCUACGGACUCGGUCCGUCCACCAUCUCCCAGGAUAUCUAGUCAGACUGUCCACAUUAUCGAACUUGCCUUUUUUCUUGAUCUCAAUCAUCCAAUCAUACACAAUAUGUAAACCAGUAAUUGACACCAAACAAGACAACACAGUAUCGGGUUUACCAUAAUACAAACCAUAAUAAAAGAAACCAUGAUUCAUGCAUACGAGACCAUAACAUAAUUAUAUCAAACAUCAUGCUACAUUUAAUACUGAAAAUUAGAUCAAACAAUAACAGAUCGACACUGUAUCAGACUCGGGCUCCACUAGCAACCUUAAUCAAUUAUACAUCUAUAAAGUCACACAGUACAUUUUAAUUAUUUAUUUAGCU
rnacentral:lncRNA from 1 species